rnacentral:lncRNA from 1 species
GGGGGCCAAGCAAGGGAUUGGAGGUGUUGAGUGGAGCCAUCAGCCCUUCUUUCUCUUGCAGGGACCGCGGGGGGUGCAGGGCCUGCGUGGCAUACCGGGGAAAGGGGGCAAACGGCCACAGGCCAGGCCAUGGCUGGAGAUUCCCUUUCACCCCUGCCCUGUUUUGCAGGGUCGCUCUGGAGCAGACGGUGCCAGGGGCCUCCCAGGCGACACUGGACCCAAGGGUGACAGGGGCUUCGACGGGCUACCGGGGCUGCCGGGCGAGAAGGGCCACAAGGUGAGUGUGACUGCAGGUCCCCGAUCCCCACCCAGGGGUGUGUGCUGGGGGACCCGGCCCCUCAGCCCCCCAGGCCUCACCUCUCUCUCUCUCCUGCAGGGGGAGCUGGGGAAGCUGGGGUCGCCUGGUUCCCCUGGUGAGAAUGGAGCCAAGGUAGGGCCUUGA